rnacentral:rRNA from 1 species
AGAUUGAACGCUAGCGGGAUGCUUUACACAUGCAAGUCGAACGGCAGCGCGGACUUCGGUCUGGCGGCGAGUGGCGAACGGGUGAGUAAUAUAUCGGAACGUGCCCAGUAGCGGGGGAUAACUACGCGAAAGCGUGGCUAAUACCGCAUACGCCCUACGGGGGAAAGGGGGGGAUCGCAAGACCUCUCACUAUUGGAGCGGCCGAUAUCAGAUUAGCUAGUUGGUGAGGUAAAGGCUCACCAAGGCGACGAUCUGUAGCUGGUUUGAGAGGACGACCAGCCACACUGGGACUGAGACACGGCCCAGACUCCUACGGGAGGCAGCAGUGGGGAAUUUGGACAAUGGGGGAAACCUGAUCCAGCCAUCCCGCGUGUGCGAUGAAGGCCUCGGGCUAGUAAAGCUACUUUCGUCGUAGGAAGAAACGGACGUCGACCCUAAGUAACGGACGUACACUACGACGGUACC